UACGGAGGAUGCAAGCGUUAUCCGGAAUCAUUGGGCGUAAAGCGUCCGCAGGUGGCAUUACAAGUCUGUCGUCAAAGAAUGGAGCUUAACUCCAUCAAGGCGGUGGAAACUGUAGAGCUAGAGUACGGUAGGGGUAGAGGGAAUUUCCAGUGUAGCGGUGAAAUGCGUAGAGAUUGGAAAGAACACCAGUGGCGAAAGCGCUCUACUGGGCCUGUACUGACACUGAGGGACGAAAGCUAGGGGAGCGAAAGGG
rnacentral:rRNA from 1 species